rnacentral:rRNA from 1 species
UACGGGGGGGGCAAGCGUUGUUCGGAAUUACUGGGCGUAAAGGGCUCGUAGGCGGCCAACUAAGUCAGAUGUGAAAUCCCCAGGCUUAACCUGGGAACUGCAUCUGAUACUGGAUGGCUUGAAUCCGGGAGAGGGAUGCAGAAUUCCAGGUGUAGCGGUGAAAUGCGUAGAUAUCUGGAGGAAUACCGGUGGCGAAGGCGGCAUCCUGGACCGGCAUUGACGCUGAGGCACGAAAGCGUGGGGAGCAAACAGG